rnacentral:rRNA from 1 species
AGUGAACGCUGGCGGUAGGCCUAACACAUGCAAGUCGAACGGCAGCACAGUAAGAGCUUGCUCUUACGGGUGGCGAGUGGCGGACGGGUGAGGAAUACAUCGGAAUCUACUUUUUCGUGGGUGAUAACGUAGGGAAACUUACGCUAAUACCGCAUACGACCUACGGGUGAAAGCAGGGGAUCUUCGGACUUUGCGCGAUUGAAUGAGCCGAUGUCGGAUUAGCUAGUUGGCGGGGUAAAGGCCCACCAAGGCGACGAUCCGUAGCUGGUCUGAGAGGAUGAUCAGCCACACUGGAACUGAGACACGGUCCAGACUCCUACGGGAGGCAGCAGUGGGGAAUAUUGGACAAAGGGCGCAAGCCUGAUCCAGCCAUACCGCGUGAGUGAAGAAGGCCUUCGGGUUGUAAAGCCCUUUUGUUGGGAAAGAAAAGCAGCAGGUUAAUACCCCGCUGUUCUGACGGUACCCAAAGAAUAAGCACCGGCUAACUUCGUG